UGGGCUGUGGCUCAGUGGUAGAGUGUUUGCUUAGCAUGCACGAGGCCCUGGGUUCCAUCCCCAGCAACACAC
rnacentral:tRNA from 1 species